rnacentral:rRNA from 1 species
CCUACGGGGUGCUGCAGUGGGGAAUAUUGGACAAUGGGCGAAAGCCAGAUCCAGCCAUGCCGCGUGUGUGAAGAAGGCCUUCGGGUUGUAAAGCACUUUCAGUGGGGAAGAAAGCCUUGGGGCUAAUACCCUCGAGGAAGGACAUCACCCACAGAAGAAGCACCGGCUAACUCCGUGCCAGCAGCCGCGGUAAUACGGAGGGUGCGAGCGUUAAUCGGAAUUACUGGGCGUAAAGCGCGCGUAGGCGGUCUGAUAAGCCGGUUGUGAAAGCCCCGGGCUCAACCUGGGAACGGCAUCCGGAACUGUCAGGCUAGAGUGCAGGAGAGGAAGGUAGAAUUCCCGGUGUAGCGGUGAAAUGCGUAGAGAUCGGGAGGAAUACCAGUGGCGAAGGCGGCCUUCUGGACUGACACUGACGCUGAGGUGCGAAAGCGUGGGUAGCAAACAGGAUUAGAUACCCGAGUAGUC